CCUCCCGCCUCCAAUGACCGAAAAGAAAAACCCAUCAUUUCGAGUGAUCUGCAGCGCCAUCAACAAAGACGAGAGCUCAUGGCGACGGCGGCAAUGGACAUCAGAUCCGGUGGACAGGUUCCCCUUGCUGGAUCUUGCAUCUAGCGAUUUCGCGCCGGCCGGUGAGCCAGAGUCAGCUUCUGAAUCGAGCAUGGGAGAUGUGGGCGACGCGCCGCUUACAAUCCAGUUGGCCAUGAACAACGGCUGCGAGCGCUGAGCUUGUCGGCGACCGAUUCGCAACAAUCAACGGGAAAAGACGACCCUCAAGCCGCCGGGUGGACAAAAAGGGUUCAUAUUGGGCGAGCCCCUAUCGAGCGUGCACCUUGUGCUGGAAGAGUAUGUGCCCUUGAAAAAAACAUUAAGAGGAUAUGCAGAGAAGAAAACUGAUACCGUGGUGGUACCAUCUGUUGGAUACAACUUUGAUUCAUUGGGAGAGCCAUACGACCUCCACAACCUAUAUUCGUGGGAAAUUGGAUUCGAAAUAAGAUACGAAAAAAGUAGGCUCAACGUCAAGAGAACCAAAUGUAUGCAGGAGAUAGUAUGUGGAUACUCUGUGGGUCCAAAUUAAAUUCAUUGUCCCAUUCCUGCAAUUGUUUUGUGAAAAUGCACUGAAACAUUUGGCGAUGAACUUGUACUUUCAGGGCAAACCAAAAAGAGGAAAUACACGCACA